rnacentral:misc_RNA from 1 species
ACGCCGUAACAAGGGUUCCGUAGGUGACUAGCCCGGAACGUAGGUUUGAUGCAGAGUGGAACAGUUCCAAUUUUGAGCAGUCAGUGUCUGAAAGUGUCAUUCAUUGGGUCAGGAUAACGCUUCACGAUGCUUGUAGACCGCAUCUCGCGGGCAGGAGCUAGGCCAAAGAGUCCCCAUGCCCCUAUUACAACCCACAGUUUAAUGUGAAGCUCAAUGGAAAACAUUGGGUAAAAAAACCGAGCAACUGUGAACAAUGGAUAUCUUGGUUCUC